rnacentral:rRNA from 1 species
UGGGGAAUCUUGCGCAAUGGGCGAAAGCCUGACGCAGCCAUGCCGCGUGAGGGAAGACGGCCCUAGGGUUGUAAACCUCUUUCAGCAGGGACGAAAAUGACGGUACCUGCAGAAGAAGCCCCGGCCAACUACGUGCCAGCAGCCGCGGUAACACGUAGGGGGCGAGCGUUGUCCGGAAUUAUUGGGCGUAAAGAGCUCGUAGGCGGUUUGGUAAGUCGGAUGUGAAAACUCAGGGCUCAACCCGGAGACGCCAUCCGAUACUGCCAUGACUGGAGUCCGGUAGAGGAGCGUGGAAUUCCCGGUGUAGCGGUGAAAUGCGCAGAUAUCGGGAGGAACACCAGCGGCGAAGGCGGCGCUCUGGGCCGGAACUGACGCUGAGGAGCGAAAGCGUGGGGAGCAAACAGGAUUAGAUACCCCCGUAGUCC